rnacentral:rRNA from 1 species
AUGCGAGUCGCGAGGGUUCGGCCCUCGGCUGACGGCUCAGUAACACGCGGAUAAUCUGCCCUUAGGUGGAGGAUAACCUCGGGAAACUGAGAAUAAGACUCCAUAGAUCUAGGAGGCUGGAAUGCACUUAGAUCAAAAACUUCGGUGCCUAAGGAUGAGUCUGCGGACUAUCAGGUAGUAGUCAGGGUAAUGACCUGACCAGCCUAUGACGGAUACGGGUUAUGAGAGCAAUAACCCGGAGAUGAUAUCUGAGACACGAUAUCAGGCCCUACGGGGCGCAGCAGGCGCGAAAACUUCACACUGUGCGAAAGCACGAUGAGGGAAUCCCAAGUGCUGGCUCGUAAGAGUCAGCUGUUUUUCUGUCUAGAAAACAGAGAGAGUAAGAGCUGGGUAAGACGGGUGCCAGCCGCCGCGGUAAUACCUGCAGCUCAAGUGGUGGCCGCUAUUAUUGGGCCUAAAACGUUCGUAGCCGGUCUAGUAAAUGCCUGGGUAAAUCAUACGGCUUAACCGUACGAAUUCCGGGUAGACUGCUGGACUUGGGACUGGGAGAGGCUAGAGGUACUCCUGGGGUAGAGGUGAAAUUCUGUAAUCCUAGGGGGACGACCAGUGGCGAAGGCGUCUAGCUAGAACAGGUCUGACGGUGAGGAACGAAGCCCUGGGGCGCAAACGGGAUUAGAUACCCCGGUAGUCCAGGGUGUAAACGCUGCUUGCUUGAUGUUAGUCGGGCUCCGAGCCCGAUUAGUGUCGGAGAGAAGUUGUUAAGCAAGCUGCCUGGGGAGUACGGCCGCAAGACUGAAACUUAAAGGAAUUGGCGGGGGAGCACCGCAACGGGUGGAGCGUGCGGUUUAAUUGGAUUCAACGCCGGAA